UGGGGAAUAUUGGACAAUGGGCGCAAGCCUGAUCCAGCCAUGCCGCGUGAGUGAUGAAGGCCCUAGGGUUGUAAAGCUCUUUCACCGGUGAAGAUAAUGACGGUAACCGGAGAANAAGCCCCGG
rnacentral:rRNA from 1 species